UACAGAGGGUGCGAGCGUUGUCCGGAAUCAGCUGGGCGUAAAGGGUGCGUAGGCGGCUUAGUUAAGUCAGGGGUGAAGACGGUGGCUCAACCAUCGCAGUGCCUUUGAUACUGAUGAGCUUGAAUACACUUGAGGUAGGCGGAAUGUGACAAGUAGCGGUGAAAUGCAUAGAUAUGUCACAGAACACCAAUUGCGAAAGGCGCUUACUAAGGUGCAAUUGACGCUGGAGGCACGAAAGCGUCGGGGAUCAAACAGG
rnacentral:rRNA from 1 species